GAUGAACGCUGGCGGCGUGCUUAACACAUGCAAGUCGAACGAUGAAGCCGGAGCUUGCUCUGGUGAAUUAGUGGCGAACGGGUGAGUAACACGUGAGUAACCUGCCCUUGACUCUGGGAUAACUGCUAGAAAUGGUAGCUAAUACCGGAUACGACCCUCGGAGGCAUCUUCAGGGGGUGGAAAGAAUUUCGGUCAAGGAUGGACUCGCGGCCUAUCAGCUAGUUGGUGAGGUAAUGGCUCACCAAGGCGACGACGGGUAGCCGGCCUGAGAGGGUGACCGGCCACACUGGGACUGAGACACGGCCCAGACUCCGACGGGAGGCAGCAGUGGGGAAUAUUGCACAAUGGGCGCAAGCCUGACGCAGCAACGCCGCGUGAGGGAUGACGGCCUUCGGGUUGUAAACCUCUUUUAGUAGGGAAGAAGCGAAAGUGACGGUACCUGCAGAAAAAGCACCGGCUAACUACGUGCCAGCAGCCGCAGUAA
rnacentral:rRNA from 1 species